rnacentral:rRNA from 1 species
AACGAACGCUGGCGGCAGGCCUAACACAUGCAAGUCGAGCGCCCUUUCGGGGGAGCGGCGGACGGGUGAGUAACGCGUGGGAAUAUGCCCUUCUCUACGGAAUAGCCUCGGGAAACUGAGAGUAAUACCGUAUACGCCCUGUGGGGGAAAGAUUUAUCGGGGAAGGAUUAGCCCGCGUUGGAUUAGGUAGUUGGUGGGGUAAUGGCCUACCAGGCCGACGAUCCAUAGCUGGUUUGAGAGGAUGAUCAGCCACACUGGGACUGAGACACGGCCCAGACUCCUACGGGAGGCAGCAGUGGGGAAUCUUAGACAAUGGGGGCAACCCUGAUCUAGCCAUGCCGCGUGAGUGAUGAAGGCCUUAGGGUUGUAAAGCUCUUUCAGCUGGGAAGAUAAUGACGGUACCAGCAGAAGAAGCCCCGGCUAACUCCGUGCCAGCAGCCGCCGUAA